GCCGGGUUGGGGGUGUGCGAUUGUGUGGGACGGUCUGGGGCAGCCCAGCAGCGGCUGACCCUCUGCCUGCCGGGAAGGGAGUCGCGAGGCGGCCGUCAUGGCGGUGUCGGAGAGCCAGCUCAAGAAAAUGGUGUCGAAGUACAAAUACAGAGACCUAACUGUACGUGAAACUGUCAAUGUUAUUACUCUAUACAAAGAUCUCAAACCUGUUUUGGAUUCAUAUGUUUUUAAUGAUGGCAGUUCCAGGGAACUAAUGAACCUCACUGGAACAAUCCCUGUGCCUUAUAGAGGUAAUACAUAUAAUAUUCCAAUAUGCUUAUGGCUACUGGACACAUACCCAUAUAAUCCCCCUAUCUGUUUUGUUAAGCCUACUAGUUCAAUGACUAUUAAAACAGGAAAGCAUGUUGAUGCAAAUGGGAAGAUAUAUCUUCCUUAUCUACAUGAAUGGAAACACUGGUUACCCAGGCUGUCCUUACCCACCUGGUGGUCCAUAUCCUGCCACAACAAGUUCUCAGUACCCUUCCCAGCCUCCUGUGACCACUGUUGGUCCCAGUAGGGAUGGCACAAUCAGCGAGGACACCAUCCGAGCGUCUCUCAUCUCUGCGGUCAGUGACAAACUGAGAUGGCGGAUGAAGGAGGAAAUGGAUCGUGCCCAGGCAGAGCUAAAUGCCUUGAAACGAACAGAAGAAGACCUGAAAAAGGGUCACCAGAAACUGGAAGAGAUGGUUACCCGUUUAGAUCAAGAAGUAGUAAGUGACUUAUUAAAGACUUAAAAUUUUUGGA
rnacentral:sRNA from 1 species